rnacentral:rRNA from 1 species
AGCGUAGACGGAAUGGCAAGUCUGAUGUGAAAGGCCGGGGCUCAACCCUGGGACUGCAUUGGAAACUGUCAAUCUAGAGUACCGGAGGGGUAAGUGGAAUUCCUAGUGUAGCGGUGAAAUGCGUAGAUAUUAGGAGGAACACCAGUGGCGAAGGCGGCUUACUGGACGGUAACUGACGUUGAGGCUCGAAAGCGUGGGGAGGCAAAACA